AUGGCUUCUCUGCCGCAGCCAUUGCCGUACGGCGGCAGCUACUAUCCUUCCACCGGCUCCGUCCGGCACACUGGCAGGCCGGCGCCCGACGAGGGCGGAGGCUCCUUCGGGCCGGUGCUCGUGGUGCUCGCCGUCGUCUCCUUCCUCUCAGCCGCCGCGUGCAUCGCCGGCCGGCUGUGCGGCCGGAGGUCAUCGUCGUCCAGGGGAAAGUCCUCUGCAGAGCAGCAGGGCGCUGCCGAUGCGGAGAAGGGAUUGGAUGCUGCCAAGCACCCGGCGGUUAUGAGGCCCCUGCCGAGCUCCCGCGCUACGGUGCACGACAUGGACGACGAUGACGUUUUCGAGAUCAAGUUCGCGCACGUGAAGCCGCCGCCGGGGUGGGAGAAACACGGCGCCGGUGGCGGUGGCGGUGGCAGGGUGCCAGCGCUGCCUCAGCCGCUGCUCGGCCCGCCCUGGCAGUACGCGGCAGCAGGCUUCAGGUGCGCUCCAGCAAACGGCGCCGGUGUAGCGAGGCAGGCGCAUCCGCCGCAGGUCAGGGGUGUUGGAGAUUCGUGCACUGCUCCUGCGAGGCCAACAAAGUAG
rnacentral:rRNA from 1 species